CCAUGGUCGCUGACGGCAGGUCUUAGGGCAACAUCCGUCUUCCAGCUGGCAGAGAGAAAGAGAAACACCCAUUUCAGAUUUUGUUUUUCCUAAGGACUAAAUGAAUCACUACCUAUAUAACACUGAGACAGUUUUGACUCACAAUAAGGUCUACAUGAGUGUUAGCAACACCAUAGAAUGAAAAGCAACCACCACAGAAGUCCUGUCUCUACUGAUGAGAGCCGAAUGAGGGCAACAGCUGAACCGUGGGAGAGAUGCCGUGCUGGAGGUUUCCUGGAGUGAGUAAGAAGAGAGGAAGGAAGAGGAAACACUCCACGAUGAAAAGGAUUAUGAGGACAAAUAUUGACAGAGUGGGGACUUGGCAAUCCCACACACCAAGAAUGAGGAACACAGGCUGAGUCUGGAAGUAGGGAGCUUGAGAACAUCUCUGAGCUGACAGGGGGCUCGGCAGUCAUGUUCUCUGCUGGACAACACAAGGCUACUGACAGCAACAGGAAAUCAGAGCUCAAGCUGCUCCAAGGCAGAGAAAGAGAAACGAAGUCUGUGCUCCAGCAAAUGAGGACAGACACAGGAGAAAGUCCUGAGAGGUGGCAGCUGUGGUCCACAUGUUUCCCAACAAGCAGAUAAAGAAAGUUCAAAAAGUAAACUAUAAGCUGCCCCCAUCCCCCUCGCUUUCCACCCCACCCCGGUACAGAAGAACCUUAGCACUCUGGCUCAGCAGGAGAGGGUCUGCCGAUUGCACGGGUACCUGGGAAAGUAAGCCCAGGAGACCCUAUCAGCUCUCGAGCCAAUGUGUAUCUUCUUUUCUAUUUCUUGACAGAAAGAUUUAAAAAAAAUGAAUUUACUCUGUCCAAAGUCACCACGUUUUGGGGGCCCACUCCCCUUUUCCAGGAUAGUUUAAACCAUAUCUAUCCCCAAAUGGAAGAGAUGCAUUCACCUUCCUCUAGAUAAGGUCUUGUCUGGGGUCCUGGGAAUGAGCAGCCAUAUGUUACAAGCCUGCCGAUUGGCAUCAGCAUGAUGUGGCCGGAGUAAAGGGAACCACAGAGAGAUGGAUGCUGCCACACUGGAGCAGCCUGCUGUGGACCUGUUAUAUUAGCCCUGUGGGAUUAGAGCUGUUUUGAGUCCACAGCCCCAAAGAUCCCCAGCUAACGAGGAUGCUGUCUGCCUCUCUGAGAAUCUUAGGCUGGGUGUACCUGACCUCAGUCAUAGUAUCUUCC